GCUCAGAUUGAACGCUGGCGGCAGGCCUAACACAUGCAAGUCGAGCGGAUGAAGUGAGCUUGCUCAUGGAUUCAGCGGCGGACGGGUGAGUAAUGCCUAGGAAUCUGCCUGGUAGUGGGGGACAACGUUCCGAAAGGGGCGCUAAUACCGCAUACGUCCUACGGGAGAAAGUGGGGGAUCUUCGGACCUCACGCUAUCAGAUGAGCCUAGGUCGGAUUAGCUAGUUGGUGGGGUAAUGGCUCACCAAGGCGACGAUCCGUAACUGGUCUGAGAGGAUGAUCAGUCACACUGGAACUGAGACACGGUCCAGACUCCUACGGGAGGCAGCAGUGGGGAAUAUUGGACAAUGGGCGAAAGCCUGAUCCAGCCAUGCCGCGUGUGUGAAGAAGGUCUUCGGAUUGUAAAGCACUUUAAGUUGGGAGGAAGGGCAGUAAGCGAAUACCUUGCUGUUUUGACGUUACCAACAGAAUAAGCACCGGCUAACUCU
rnacentral:rRNA from 1 species